UACGAAGGGUGCAAGCGUUACUCGGAAUUACUGGGCGUAAAGCGUGCGUAGGCGGUUCGUUAAGUCUGUCGUGAAGGCCCUGGGCUCAACCUGGGAAUUGCGAUGGAUACUGGCGAGCUAGAGUACGGUAGAGGAUGGUGGAAUUCCAGGUGUAGCGGUGAAAUGCGUAGAUAUCUGGAGGAACACCGGUGGCGAAGGCGGCAUCCUGGACCGACACUGACGCUGAGGAGCGAAAGCCAGGGGAGCAAACGGG
rnacentral:rRNA from 1 species